GUAUAGAUGUGCUUAGCACGUCAACAUCCUUUUACAUACAGAGUGUGUAAAAUACUCCGAGGUGCGACAAAAGCCGCUCACUCAGAGUCUAAGGUGCACAGGUGUGUGGAUUUGCGAUCGACGUGCACAUGCGCUUGCGCGCCAGCACAACCGAUUGACUUGUAUUUCAUUAAUGAUCCUUCCGCAGGUUCACCUACGGAAA
rnacentral:misc_RNA from 1 species